AAGCAAUAUUUUAGUCCAAGAACACCUUCAGGCUGGACAUACAGAGCCUACUCUGAGUCCUUGGAAUACUCUAAUUUUUGUGGUGAAGAAAAAAUCUGGCAAAUGGAGAUCAUUACAGGCUCUUAGAGUGAUUAAUUGUACUAUGAAACCAAUGGGAGCCUUACAUCUUGGGCUUCCUUCUCCUACAGCCAUCCCUCUUGAUUAUCAAUUAAUAGUUAUAUAUUUAAAAGAUUGUUUUUUCACUAUACCAUUGCAUCCAGAAGAUUGUAAGAGAUUUGCUUUUAC
rnacentral:ncRNA from 1 species